rnacentral:rRNA from 1 species
GAUGAACGCUGGCGGCGUGCCUAAUACAUGCAAGUCGAGCGAACAGACGAGGAGCUUGCUCCUCUGACGUUAGCGGCGGACGGGUGAGUAACACGUGGAUAACCUACCUAUAAGACUGGGAUAACUUCGGGAACCGGGACCUAAUACGGGCUAUGAAUUUAAACCGAAGGGUUUAAUGGGUAACGCGGUUUUUGCUGCCACUUUUAGAUGGAUCCGCGCGGCAUUAGCUAGUUGGUAAGGUAACGGCUUACCAAGGCAACGAUGCGUAGCCGACCUGAGAGGGUGAUCGGCCACACUGGAACUGAGACACGGUCCAGACUCCUACGGGAGGCAGCAGUAGGGAAUCUUCCGCAAAGGGCGAAAGCCUGACGGAGCAACGCCGCGUGAGUGAUGAAGGUCUUCGGAUCGUAAAACUCUGUUAUUAGGGAAGAACAAAUGUGUAAGUAACUAUGCACGUCUUGACGGUACCUAAUCAGAAAGCCACGGCUAACUACGUG